rnacentral:rRNA from 1 species
AGUGGGGGAUAACACCUGGAAACAGAUGCUAAUACCGCAUAACAAAGUAAACCGCAUGGUUUACUUUUAAAAGAUGGCUUUGGGUAUCAAUUUUGGAUGGACCCGGGGGGUAUUAGCUAGCUGGUGAGAUUAAGGCUCAACAAGGCAAUGAUACGUAGCCGUCCUGAGAGGGUAAUUGGCCACUUUGGGAGUGAGACACGGCCCAGGAUCCUUCGGGAGGCAGCCGUAGGGAAUUUUUCACAAUGGACGAAAGUUUGACGGAGCAACGCCGCCUGAGUGAUGAAGGCUUUAGGGUCGUAAAACUCUGUUGCUGGAGAAGAACGUGUGUGAGAGUAACUGCUCAUGCAGUGACGGUAUCCAACCAGAAAGCCACGGCUAAAUACGUGCCAGCAGCCGCGGUAAUACGUAGGUGGCAAGCGUUAUCCGGAUUUAUUGGGCGUAAAGCGAGCGCAGGCGGUCUUUUAAGUCUAAUGUGAAAGCCUUCGGCUAACCGAAGAAGUGCA